GCUUUCAACUCUCUGAACUUCGGUUCCUCAUCUGCCAGUUGGCAGACGCUCAGCAAAUCUUCCUAGACUCACGGGGCGAAUUGUACAGUUGGGUAAAUCGAGGCCCAGAGAUGGCAAAAGGACCGUCCAAGGUCGUACAGCCACCCGGAAUUACAAUUCUUUUCUGCCGGGUCACACGCUGUCAUCCACGUGUUACCUAAGAGAGCUUUCCAGCCUGUGCUAAGAAAACUGCCCCACAUCAUCUGCAGUAGGACGGGGGAGUUGGAGCCCUGGUCAGGCCACUCUGCUACUGACCACAGUUUUCUCAUCUCUAAAAAGGCGCAGUAACAAUAUAAUUACCGUAUGCAGUCCCCCAGGAUACAGGGUCAAAGGAGAGCACAACCAUCGCAGUUGGAAGCCCAUGGGGCAGAUGAAAAGAGAAGAGCUUGGGG
rnacentral:lncRNA from 10 species